rnacentral:rRNA from 1 species
GACGAACGCUGGCGGCGUGCUUAACACAUGCAAGUCGAGCGGUAAGGCCCUUUCGGGGGUACGACGAGCGGCGAACGGGUGGAGUAACAACGUGGGUGGACCUCGCCCUCCAGCUCUGGGAGUAAGCCUCGGGAAACCGGGGUACCGUAAUAACCGGAUAUGACUCCAUGACGCAUGUUGUGGGGCGGAAAGCCUUGUGCGGCUGAGGAUGGGCCCGCGGCCUAUCAGCUUGUUGGUGGGGUGAUGGCCUACCAAGGCGACGACGGGUAGCCGGCCUGAGAGGGCGACCGGCCACACUGGGACUGAGACACGGCCC